CUAACCCCACACCCCAUUCUGACCCCUCCCCUAAAACAGGGCGCUCUUCUUCUCUCGCGCGCUCCCUCCUGUGGGCGAUCUGUGUAACGCCAGAAACAGCCGCUGCACUGUAGGAGGAAGAAUGCAGUGGGCUUCUCAGCUUGAGCGAUCACACCUGGAGGUUUCGGGCAGGUGUAGGAGGCAGGAAAGAUGCCAAGAACACAAAAACGAACUCACGACUCCACCUGGAUUAUAUCUCUGCGUGAAAAGAAAGAUCUAUCUUUGGCAACUUCCUCCAAAAGAUAAAUCUUUUAAGAAUGAAGAACUGAUUAGCCUAAGUACAUAUCUGUAUCUGCCAAAGAAAGUACGUGAACAUGUGUGUUCAGGUUGGAGUGACUGCUCCCUUUCCUCACCCGAAGGUGCUCUCAGAACUCUAAAAUACAUCCACCCGGGGUGUAUCUUCAGAGCCAGCUGGCAAGGGCAUCAUGAGAACAGGUUCUGUUGUUUAGUGGCGAGUACUCUUGAAAUACUUUGUCUGGUAUUCAGAGCACAUGCUGUAAAGGAGUUGGAUUUUAAACUCUGGUGAAAGAUGUAGGCUACAGGAGGACCCUGCAGGGAGAAAGCAACAGGACCCUCUCCUUGACUCAGAGGCGACAGGGACUGGGAAGCAGCAACCCCUCAGGUGCAGGCUCUGCUCCUCAUCUACAAAGAGUUUGAGCAGGAAGGAGACUGGGCCUGAGAUGCGAGAGAGGGGCGGGGGAACGUGGCCAUGCAGGGUCCUGAGUGACUUUUUCAAACUCCUGAAUAAAUAGCCUGUGCAAAAC
rnacentral:lncRNA from 1 species